GAAUUUUGGACAAUGGGCGCAAGCCUGAUCCAGCCAUGCCGCGUGCGGGAAGAAGGCCUUCGGGUUGUAAACCGCUUUUGGCAGGAACGAAACGGCGACUUCUAACACGAGUCGUUAAUGACGGUACCUGCAGAAUAAGCACCGGCUAACUACGUGCCAGCAGCCGCGGUAAUACGUAGGGUGCAAGCGUUAAUCGGAAUUACUGGGCGUAAAGCGUACGCAGGCGGCUUUGCAAGACAGGUGUGAAAUCCCCGGGCCUAACCUGGGAACUGCAUUUGUGACUGCAUGGCUAGAGUCUGUCAGAGGGGGGUGGAAUUCCACGUGUAGCAGUGAAAUGCGUAGAGAUGUGGAAGAACACCGAUGGCGAAGGCAGCCCCCUGGGAUGAGACUGACGCUCAUGUACGAAAGCGUGGGGAGCAAACAGGAUUAGAUACCCUGGUAGUCCACGCCCUAAACGAUGUCUACUAGUUGUCGGAGGGUAACUCCUUCGGUAACGCAGCUAACGCGUGAAGUAGACCGCCUGGGGAGUACGGUCGCAAGAUUAAAACUCAAAGGAAUUGACGG
rnacentral:rRNA from 1 species